rnacentral:rRNA from 1 species
UACGUAGGGUGCGAGCGUUAAUCGGAAUUACUGGGCGUAAAGCGUGCGCAGGCGGUUUUGUAAGCCAGAUGUGAAAUCCCCGGGCUCAACCUGGGAAUGGCAUUUGGGACUGCAAGGCUGGAGUACGGCAGAGGAGACUGGAAUUCCUGGUGUAGCAGUGAAAUGCGUAGAUAUCAGGAGGAAUACCGAUGGCGAAGGCAGGUCUCUGGGCUGAUACUGACGCUCAUGCACGAAAGCGUGGGGAGCUAACAGG